rnacentral:lncRNA from 9 species
GCUUGAAAAGGAAAAUGCCGAGUUAAAAGAUACAAACAAAAUGCAAGCGGGCACAAUUGAAGAGCUUCAGAGAAACCCGCCGGGUCCAAGUUCGUUGCAAGAAGCACAAGAUCGAUAUAUGGAGGCCGCGAAAUGUAUUGAGAAGAUGCAGCAUCAAGUGCAAAAGUAAGAUUUAAAGCAGCACAGAGAAUAAGUAGGGAUUAAGUACGAAGCACCUAGGCAGUACAGUGUAAGAAUUAUACCAGGAAAGAUGACAAAUAAGACAUCAUUGGGGAGCCGGGUAAAAAUUUCAGUUUUGGGGUGUUGUGAAAUGGCUUUUCCCCAUUAUUUCUAAAUUUCUCUCAUUAUCCGCAAAACCCUGCUAGAAAAACAACAAAAUGGCCAAAACAUCUACCUUUCAAAAAUUUCAGAAUUUCUGUAAUGGAACCUGUGGAUGUUUGUGUGCAAUUGGUGUGGUGGUCUUAACAAUCUAUGUGUGAGGAUAAUUAUUUUGAAAUACACAUUCUAGGCUUGAAAAGGAAAAUGCCGAGUUAAAAGAUACAAACAAAAUGCAAGCGGGCACAAUUGAAGAGCUUCAGAGAAACCCGCCGGGUCCAAGUUCGUUGCAAGAAGCACAAGAUCGAUAUAUGGAGGCCGCGAAAUGUAUUGAGAAGAUGCAGCAUCAAGUGCAAAAGCUUGAAAAGGAAAAUGCCGAGUUAAAAGAUACAAACAAAAUGCAAGCGGGCACAAUUGAAGAGCUUCAGAGAAACCCGCCGGGUCCAAGUUCGUUGCAAGAAGCACAAGAUCGAUAUAUGGAGGCCGCGAAAUGUAUUGAGAAGAUGCAGCAUCAAGUGCAAAAGCUUGAAAAGGAAAAUGCCGAGUUAAAAGAUACAAACAAAAUGCAAGCGGGCACAAUUGAAGAGCUUCAGAGAAACCCGCCGGGUCCAAGUUCGUUGCAAGAAGCACAAGAUCGAUAUAUGGAGGCCGCGAAAUGUAUUGAGAAGAUGCAGCAUCAAGUGCAAAAGCUUGAAAAGGAAAAUGCCGAGUUAAAAGAUACAAACAAAAUGCAAGCGGGCACAAUUGAAGAGCUUCAGAGAAACCCGCCGGGUCCAAGUUCGUUGCAAGAAGCACAAGAUCGAUAUAUGGAGGCCGCGAAAUGUAUUGAGAAGAGCAGCAUCAAGUGCAAAAAGUAAAGAUUAAAGCAGCGGAAAG